UUUUCAAGGAAGUUGUUGAUCAAGGUAUGGUAUUAGAUAUUAGACAAUUAAUACAUCAUAGCUUUAACAACGCCGUGUGUUGGUCGCAGUCAGAGUUUCUUUGUUGCCCGGUUAUAUUGCUAGUAGUUGGUGGUUACUGCAGGUAUUUGGGAUUCCUUAGGGGAAUCCUGCUGGAUAUUUGGCUUGAAGUUGUGGGAUUAUCACCAUGCUUGUGAGUAAGUACUAGCUCUAUUCACGUUCAUGAUGACUUUAAUGGGGAUUUAUCGAAGUGAAUGUUUGAAUAAAUCUGCUGUUUCCCAUCAGAAAUUGAGUGCUUGCCAAAUUAAUCAGAAUUUGCGUGCUUCCCAAGUGAAGCUGAUGAAAAAGGAAAGC
rnacentral:lncRNA from 1 species